CCCCCCCCUUUGCUAAAAGCUACAAUAAAGAAGAAAAAAUAUUCUGCUCAGGCUAAAUAUGAUUGAAGAUGUGGUUAAUUGAGAAUAUGAUUGAAGAUGUGUCAAUUGGGAGGUGGGGUCGUCAACACUAUGUCCACAGCAUCAAACGUGUGUUUGUACUAGCGAGUGGAUGUGUAUGUACCAUAAAUAUCUACACUGAUUAUUGGGACAAAGUUCAUAAAUACGUGUAUUCAACCUGCUAAUGACGCCUCAAGUAGAAUAAUUGACAAAAUAUUUUCUUUUGAGAAGGGGGAAGUGUAAUUGGCACUGAUAACAUUCCAACAUCCACUUGGCCUAC